rnacentral:rRNA from 1 species
AACGAACGCUGGCGGCAUGCCUAACACAUGCAAGUCGAACGAGACCUUCGGGUCUAGUGGCGCACGGGUGCGUAACGCGUGGGAACCUGCCCUUAGGUUCGGAAUAACUCCCCGAAAGGGGUGCUAAUACCGGAUAAUGUCUUCGGACCAAAGAUUUAUCGCCUUUGGGUGGGCCGCGUUGGAUUAGCUAGUUGGUAGGGUAAAUGCCUACCAAGGCGACGAUCCAUAGCUGGUCUGAGAGGAUGAGCAGCCACACUGGGACUGGGACACGGCCCAGACUCCUACGGGAGGCAGCAGUGGGGAAUAUUGGACAAUGGGCGGAAGCAUGAUCCAGCAAUGCCGCGUGAGUGAUGAAGGCCUUAGGGUUGUAAAGCUCUUUUAACCGGGAUGAUAAUGACGGUACCGGGAGAAUAAGCCCCGGCUAACUCCGUG